rnacentral:rRNA from 1 species
AGAGUUUGAUCCUGGCUCAGGGUGAACGCUGGCGGCGUGCUUGACACAUGCAAGUCGAACGGUAUGUGGCAACACAUAGAGUGGCGAACGGGUGAGUAACACGUGGGAACGUACCUUCUGCAGGGGGAUAACUGACCGAAAGGACAGCUAAUACCGCAUAAGGCCGAGAGGAGAAAGGUGCAAUAGCAUCGGCAGAGGAGCGGCCCGCGGACCAUCAGCUAGUUGGUGGGGUAAGAGCCUACCAAGGCGACGACGGAUAGCCGGCGUGAGAGCGUGGCCGGCCACAAGGACACUGAGAUACGGGUCCUACUCCUACGGGAGGCAGCAGUGCGGAAUUUUAGAUAAUGGAGGCAACUCUGAUCUAGCGACGCCGCGUGCAGGAAGAAGGUCUUCGGAUUGUAAACUGCUGUGGUAAGGGAAAAAUGCCAUGUAGAGUGGAAAGCUACAUGGAGGGAUGGUACUUUACUAGAAAGCCCCGGCUAACUACGUGCCAGCAGCCGCGGUAAUACGUAGGGGGCGAGCGUUACCCGGAAUCACUGGGCGUAAAGGGAGCGUAGGUGGCCUGACAUGUCGACUGUGAAAACCCGGAGCUCAACUCCGGACUUGCAGUUGAAACUGCCAGGCUUGAGGACGGUAGAGGAAGACGGAACUGCCAGUGUAGGGGUAAAAUCCUUAGAUAUUGGCAGGAACGCCGGUGACGAAAGUGGUUUUCUGGGCCGGUUCUGACACUGAUGCUCGAAAGCCAGGGGAGCGAACGGGAUUAGAUACCCCGGUAGUCCUGGCCCUAAACGAUGUUCACUAGGUGUGGGGAGCGGAAAGCUUUCCGUGCUAAAGCUAACGCGAUAAGUGAACCGCCUGGGGAGUACGCCCGCAAGGUGAACUCAAAGGAAUUGACGG